UAGCUCAAUGGUUAGAGCCGGCGGCUCAUAACCGCUUGGUUGGGGGUUCGAGUCCCUCAGCAACUAACA
rnacentral:tRNA from 1 species